UACGAAGGGGGCUAGCGUUGCUCGGAAUCACUGGGCGUAAAGGGUGCGUAGGCGGGUCUUUAAGUCAGGGGUGAAAUCCUGGAGCUCAACUCCAGAACUGCCUUUGAUACUGAAGAUCUUGAGUCCGGGAGAGGUGAGUGGAACUGCGAGUGUAGAGGUGAAAUUCGUAGAUAUUCGCAAGAACACCAGUGGCGAAGGCGGCUCACUGGCCCGGUACUGACGCUGAGGCACGAAAGCGUGGGGAGCAAACGGA
rnacentral:rRNA from 1 species